UACGUAGGGUGCGAGCGUUGUCCGGAAUUAUUGGGCGUAAAGAGCUCGUAGGCGGUCUGUCGCGUCGGUCGUGAAAACUUGGGGCUUAACCCUGAGCUUGCGGUCGAUACGGGCAUGACUGGAGUUCGGUAGGGGAGACUGGAAUUCCUGGUGUAGCGGUGAAAUGCGCAGAUAUCAGGAGGAACACCGGUGGCGACGGCGGGUCUCUGGGCCGAUACUGACGCUGAGGAGCGAAAGCGUGGGGAGCGAACAGG
rnacentral:rRNA from 1 species